rnacentral:rRNA from 1 species
AAACCGCUGGAAGGGAAGCGAAUGGAGUCGGCAAUUCACAUGAUCAGAUUCAGUCACGCGCUUCCCACGACACGCUUGCACUUCGCGAUCUUUCAAGACGCAUCUUGUGCGACGUGGGAAGGGCGUGGUGCACUUCUGUCACGUGAGCGUCAACGUCAGUUCCCUGUGAGUCAAACGGCCUCGAGGACGGUAGGUCCCCUUUUUGCGGGAUCGGUAAGCCUUUUGUGCACACGACUCCACGUGGACUGUGUCCUGUCGCAGCGCGGGCCUCCCUUCCCAGGGCAGGCUGCAGUCUCGUCGCUCGACCGUUCAUGAUGCUAAACGGACGGCGUCGCCUGUGCGUCACAAGCUCAGACGGUCGUAGUGGCGAGCGAAACCGACACGACGCGCUGAGUACGUUGACCGCCAAGCGACCCCAUCCGACCCGUCUUGAAACACGGACCAAGGAGUCUAACAUGUGCGCGAGUCUCAGGGUGACAGAAACCCAUGGGCGUAAUGAAAGUAAAUGCGCGCUUUUGUGCGCAGAGGUGUGAAGUUCGUUGCAGAGCUGCAUCACCGACCGACCUGUUCUACUCUUAGGAAGGUUUGCGUUAGAGCGCACCUGUUGGGACCCGAAAGAUGGUGAACUAUGCCUGAAUAGGGCGAAGCCAGCGG